GGCGGCGGCCACGCCAACGGUGCCCCUCGCAGGGGGGCUGAAAAGGGAAUUUGCCCGCUCUUGCUCCGGCAAGGGGGAUGCAAAGCUGCCCCCGCAACUGUUUCCGGGCGAGCGUACCGUCAUAUGCCACUGGGCCGAUCGGUCUGGGAAGGCGGCGGAUGCGCGAUGACCCCGGAUAGCCAGGAGACCUGCCGGUGGUUGUCGUUCAGC
rnacentral:ncRNA from 2 species